CUAUAUUAGGAACUCACAGAACGCUUAUAAAGUCCAGCACUGACACACAGUGUUUGUUAAACAGCACUGCUUGCGCACCACUGAGCACUACAGUCUUUAGUCGUUGUUUUGCUGCAUACAGUGUGUGUAUCUCUUCACAAAUGGCAAGCAUUCGUAAAAAGCUGGUGGUGGUUGGAGACGGAGCGUGUGGAAAGACGUGUCUCCUGAUCGUUUUCAGUAAAGACGAAUUUCCAGAGGUUUACGUGCCCACUGUUUUCGAAAACUACGUGGCGGACAUUGAAGUGGACACAAAACAAGUUCAGCUGGCUUUAUGGGACACGGCGGGGCAAGAGGACUACGACCGCCUACGGCCCUUAUCUUACCCGGACACUGACGUUAUUCUCAUGUGCUUUUCAGUGGACAGCCCGGACUCCCUGCAAAACAUCCCCGAAAAGUGGGUACCGGAAGUGAAGCACUUCUGUCCUAAUGUGCCCGUCAUUUUGGUGGCGAAUAAGAAAGAUUUGCGAAACGACGAGAUCGUGAGAAGUGAGCUGUGGAGAAAGAAACAGGAGCCCGUGAAGACGGAGGACGUGCGCGCCAUGGCUGCGCGCAUCGGAGCGCAAGCGUACGUGGAGUGCUCCGCCAAAACCAAAGAAGGGAUUCGGGAAGUAUUUGAGACCGCUACGCGAGCUUCCUUACAGAAGAGACCCAGACCGUUGACUGGUUGUUUAAACUGUUGUCGAUUGAUGUGAAUGGCGGAAUCAUGCGGUCACAAACGGAUGACUCAAUGGAAAGAUUCACUUUGAGAGGGAUGAAAAUGGAGAAAGGCAGGUGGCAGUGUCCAGGAGCUGACAUUCAUUGGGUACGGAGUUCCACGUCAAAAUGUGAAGGAUGUCCAUCUUUUAUUCAUCCAAGUAGUUUCUAAAUGCUCUUUAGAUGCACUUUUAAUGCACUUUUAAAUCAUAAAAAUUGAAGUUUUUGAAGCUAUUCUUUAAGAAUAUGAACAAAUACCCAACCAGUUAUUCUCUCCAAUUUCCAUUACUGACUAUAUUUAUCUACUAAAGAGAUAAAUUAGUAAAGUUCUGUUAUAGUUUUUUAGAUUUUCUGUCUACAUGGUUCUUAUUUGAUUCAUCUACGACUGGUAAAGGUUAUAUAAACAUUUUUUUUUAAAGAACAAAUAGUCUAGAUUUGAUAGACGCAAAGAAAGUAAUAUGACGUACCUGUACUGUAUUUAUAUAUUUUUCAAGCUGCUCUUUAUAUGACAAUUGAACUAUGUUUUAGAUGGUAGGAUAGUUAAACACGGUCAACUGUUAAUAUUGCAGAGUAAAAUAAAUGUUUAUCAUGUGAUGCCAUUGGGGUUUAAAUUUGCAUAAAUGGGUCAAAUGAAUUUUUUGGACCAUCCAAGUAACAUGUCAUGUUUAUUGUCACAUGAUGGUUGGCGAACAAGUAGGCUUCUAAAUAUGUUUUGUUUGGUAACAAGAAUAGUCUUAGACCAUUUUAAAUGUGUUUAAAAUUAAAGAAAUUGGUUUACUCUGCUUUCUGAGACAUUUGCUUUAAGAUAAUAUAAGAAAUGGGAACAUGUGUAUUUUUGUUGAUAAAAUACAUUUCAUAUUAAAUCAUAUUCUUUUUAAACGA